GAGCCAUCCCUGCCAGCCAAAGCAGAUUCUCCGUGCCUGCUUCCAAGCAGCACAAGCUGAAACAACUGGUGGCAGAGUGGGGUGUCUCUACAGUCCUAGCCACGAAGAGAGGAGAUGAAACAUCCUCCUGCUCACAGCACAGGGAAGAGGCUGGAGCUGGGCUGCUUUCUCCACUGCUGUAGAACUCCAGUGAAAUGGGGAUUCUUUGUUCGUGUUUCAUUGGCUUCUCUGAGGAAAACAGCGAGCAUGAGAUGAGACAGAGCCUCGGGAGAAAUUACUUUCUGGCAAUAAAAUCUUCCUAAAUUAUGCAGGGAGACUGAAAGCAUGAUCUUGACUUGGACCAGGAUGCUCCGU